rnacentral:rRNA from 1 species
GGGGAGUACGGUCGCAAGACCGAAACUCAAAGGAAUUGACGGGGGCCUGCACAAGCGGUGGAGCAUGUGGUUUAAUUUGAUACAACACGCAAAACCUUACCAGCCCUUGACAUAUGAACAACAAAACCUGUCCUUAACAGGAUGGUACUGACUUUCAUACAGGUGCUGCAUGGCUGUCGUCAACUCGUGUCAUGAGAUGUUUGGUCAAGUCCUAUAACGAGCGAAACCCUCGUUUUGUGUUGCUGAGAUAUGCGCCUAAGGAGAAAUUGCCACCGAGUGACGUGCCAGCGCUACUACUUGAUUGAGUGCCAUCACGUAGAUGUGCUUUCAGCAAGAAUUUCACCAACAGGAGCCGGUGCCUUUCGAAGCAAUUUCACGUGUGAACCAAAGUCGUCUUGCCCAAGACCCACGGAGACCUAGCUAUAGUGACGUCAAAGUACUAGUGAGCAUGGAGGUUUGGUUGAAAUUUGUUACGACGAUGUCGAGUUGGCGGCGGAGGAAGACUCGGCAUGAAUGCCAGAAAAUGGUGUGGAACGUAGUGGUAAUAGUACGCGCCCCACUCCGAAACAAAGAAAAAGGUGCGUGCCGUACUCACGAGGGACUGCCAGUGAGAUACUGGAGGAAGGUGGGGAUGUCGUCAAGUCUGCAUGGCCCUUAUGGGCUGGGCCACACACGUGCUACAAUGGGAAUGACAAUGGGAAGCAAGGCUGUAUGGCGGAGCGAAUCCGGAAAGAUUGCCUCAGUUCGGACUGUGCUCUGCAACUCGGGAACAUGAAGUUGAAAUUGCUAGUGAUCGCGGAUCAGCAUGCCGCGGUGAAUAUGUACUCGGGCCCUGUACACACCCCCGUCACACCCUGGGAAUUGGUUUCACCCAAAGCAUCAGACCAAUGAUCACCCAUGACUUUUGUGUACCACUAGUGCCACAAAGGCCUUUGGUGUUCUUAUUGGCGCAUACCACGGUGGGGUCUUAGACUGGGGUGAAGUCCUUACAAGGUAGUUGUAGGGGAACUUGUGGCUA